rnacentral:rRNA from 1 species
UAGGGAAUCUUCCGAAAUGGACGCAAGUCUGACGGAGCAACGCCGCGGGAGUGAAGAAGGAUUUCGGUUCGUAAAACCCUGUUGUGAGAGAAGAACAGCGCAGAGAGUAACUGUUACGCGCGUGACGGUAUCUAACCAGAAAGCCACGGCUAACUACGUGCCAGCAGCCGCGGUAAUACGUAGGUGGCAAGCGUUGUCCGGAUUUAUUGGGCGUAAAGCGAGCGCAGGCGGUCAAUUAAGUCUGGUGGGAAAGCCCCCGUCUCAACCGGGGAGGAUCAUUGGAAACUGGGUGACUUGGGUGCAGGAGAGGAGAGUGGAAUUCCAUGUGUGACGGUGAAAUGCGUAGAUAUAUGGAGGAACCCCAGUGGCGAAGGCGACUCUCUGGUCUGUAACUGACGCUGAGGCUCGAAAGCGUGGGUAGCAAACAGG